rnacentral:misc_RNA from 1 species
GAAAUGCGAUAAGUAAUGUGAAUUGCAGAAUUCAGUGAAUCAUCGAAUCUUUGAACGCACAUUACGCCCGCCAGUAUUCUAGCGGGCAUGCCUGUUCGAGCGUCAUUUCAACCAUCAAGCCCCCGAGCCUGUGCUGGGGACCUGCGGCUGCCCGCAGGCCCCGAAAACCAGCGGCGGGCUCGCUGUCACCCCGAGCGUAGUAAAUUAAUCUCGCUCUGGGCGUGCUGCGAGUUCCGGCCGUAAAAAACCCCCCUUCUCAAGGUUGACCUCGGAUCAGGUAGGAAUACCCGCUGAACUUAA